rnacentral:rRNA from 1 species
GGAGGAAAGCAGGGGAUCGUAAGACCUUGCGCUUUUGGAGCGGCCGAUGUCUGAUUAGCUAGUUGGUGAGGUAAAGGCUUACCAAGGCUUCGAUCAGUAGCUGGUCUGAGAGGACGACCAGCCACACUGGGACUGAGACACGGCCCAGACUCCUACGGGAGGCAGCAGUGGGGAAUUUUGGACAAUGGGGGCAACCCUGAUCCAGCCAUGCCGCGUGAGUGAAGAAGGCCUUCGGGUUGUAAAGCUCUUUCAGCCGGAACGAAACGGUCACGGUUAAUAACUGUGAUCACUGACGGUACCGGAAGAAGAAGCACCGGCUAACUACGUGCCAGUAGCCGCGGUAAUACGUAGGGUGCGAGCGUUAAUCGGAAUUACUGGGCGUAAAGCGUGCGCAGGCGGUUUUGUAAGUCAGAUGUGAAAUCCCCGGGCUUAACCUGGGAACUGCGUUUGAAACUACAAAGCUAG